rnacentral:rRNA from 1 species
AGCACUCUAGACGAACUGCCGUUGACAAAACGGAGGAAGGUGGGGAUGACGUCAAAUCAUCAUGCCCCUUAUGUUCUGGGCUACACACGUGCUACAAUGGCCGGUACAGACGGAGGCGAAGCCGCGAGGCGGAGCAAAUCCGAAAAAGCCGGUCUCAGUUCGGAUUGCAGGCUGCAAUUCGCCUGCAUGAAGUCGGAAUCGCUAGUAAUCGCAGGUCAGCAUACUGCGGUGAAUACGUUCCCGGGCCUU